ACACCGGCAGCUCAAGUGGUAGCCGCUUUUAUUGGGCCUAAAGCGUUCGUAGCCGGCCUGAUAAGUCUCUGGUGAAAUCCCGCAGCUUAACUGUGGGAAUUGCUGGAGAUACUAUCAGGCUUGAGGUCGGGAGAGGUUAGAGGUACUCCCAGGGUAGGGGUGAAAUCCUAUAAUCCUGGGAGGACCACCUGUGGCGAAGGCGACUAACUGGAACGAACCUGACGGUGAGUAACGAAGGCCAGGGGCGCUAACCGGAUUAGAUACCCGGGUAGUCCUGGCCGUAAACGAGGUGGACUUGAUGUUGGGAUGGCCUCGAGCUGCCCCAGUGCCGUAGGGAAGAUGUUAAGUCCACCGCCUGGGAAGUACGGUCGCAAGACUGAAACUUAAAGGAAUUGACGGGG
rnacentral:rRNA from 1 species